rnacentral:lncRNA from 1 species
GUGCACACACAUGUACACAGUAGGUGAAUAAAUAAAUGUGUUGAAAAAAAAUUGCUAAGCCUUUUCUUUUGGGUAAGUUACUGACCUCUGAGUCUGCUGUUUAUUCCUUUAUAAUGUGGGGGUAAACAUUUUUCCUGUGUACCUCACAGUUUAACUUUUUCUUUAUGUGUAUGUGUGUUUUGCCUGCAUGUAUGUCUAUGUACCAUGUGUGUACAGUGCCUAAGGAGGCCAGAAGAGUGUUAGAACUUCUGGGACUGGACUUACCUGUGGCUGUAAGCUGCCCUGAGGGUGCUGGGAACUGAACCCAGCACCUUUGCAAGAGUAGUCAGUGCUCUUAACUGCUGAGCCAUCUCCAACUCAUCUCACAGCUUAAAACCAAAAGAUAAUGUGUGCAAAGUUGUUUUAUAAUCUUACACUUUACAAAGGCAAGACUACUAUCCAAUGGUGCAGUUUUACUUUAUUCUCUUGUUCUCGUCUGUCCAGUGGAAUGAGGUGAGUGAAUUCUUUUAUCCUCUGACUUUAUCUGUCAGAACUGACAAGGUGUUUGUUUUGUUUUUUUUGGAGCUGGAGGGUGCAAUGAAAAUAGAGGAAUUAUAAUUGUGUUUCUUUAGUCCAAGGAAACCUCAUGGUUAGGCAUCAGAUCUAGAGCUCCUCUAUAUGGGCCUCGGAGAAAGGGGAAUACUUGGUGACACGUCAAGCCUCCGGUAGGAAGUAGAGAGUGUGAAGAUUGUAUCAGGUCUGCUGGAUUUUGUGAAGAGUCAAAUUCUGUACUUUUUCCACCCAGGUUCUCUUGUGCCUCAUUUAACUCUAAAGGUAAAGGAUGUAAGAGGGAAGAGUUAGACCCGUAGGUAUGGCUUCUAUUACAAACUGCUGAAACAAAGUAAAGAGAAGCCUGGCUGGGCGUGGGGCUGAUGUCUUUUCAAGUGUUUGAAGAUCGGCAAAAGAUUUUAUUACAAAAGGAAGAUAUCAGGGCUAGAGAAAGGCGAGGGGUUGAGAGCACUUACUACCCAUGCAAAGGACCCACAUUCAAAUCUCAGCCCUAGGGGAAUCUGUUGCCCUCAUCUGGUCUCUGCAGGCACAUACAGGCAUCUAAACAUAUAUUUUUAAAAAAUCUUAAAGGAAAACAGUGUUAGGUUGUAUAAGUUCACAGCUUUCUUAUCCCUCUGAAUUAAGAAGGAAGAAAAGAACGCUGUUAUUUUUCCCAGUGGUGGAUCCUACUGCUUGCUUUGAGGUGAGAUCUCAUCUGUAACCCAGACUGGCCUGUGUCCCAGUCUCCAGAGAGGGUGACAGGUAGAUACCAACACAUCUACUGUUUUCUUAGAGGACUAGCAUCACAUAGGCUAGUUUCCAGGGCAUAGAUAGGCUUGGCCUUUCAGGCAGCUGGAGUACACUCCCAUGCUCACUCGCUGUCCUACCCACCUCUUGAGACAGAGUCUUGUGUAUUCCAGGCUGGCCUCCAGCUUCUGGUCCUCACCCUGGCCUUAAAGUAUUCCUUUUCCUUGGGAGUUACUGAAGAGCAAGGUGGUACUAAACUUUUCAAACUUUUUUUUUUUUUUGCAUUAUUCAAAAGUAUUUCAGGCUGUAGAGAUGGCUCAGUGGUUAAGAGCACUGACUGCUCUUCCAGAGAUGCUGAGUUCAAUUCUCAGCAACACAGGGUGGCUCACAACCAUCUGUAAUGGAAUCCAAUGCCCUCUUCUGGUGUGCUCAUAUGCAUAAAAUAAAUAUAUCUUAAAGUAUUCUAGGUAACAUGCAGAAUGGGCUUCACUACAUGUUCAUACCCGUAACAUUGUAUUUUACCCAUGUUUGUUCCCAGAGUACUCUUCCCCCCCCUUCCAUUCAUAUUUUAAAUUUAUAUAGCUUUCUUCUGUACAUUUUUCUGUAGCUUAGCUUAUCACUUUGCAUAGAACUGAAGCCUGUUUCCUGUGCCAAGGAUGCUCUGGCAUUGUGCAUCAUAUAUUUAUAACCACACACACUUGACCCCAAGGCCUCCUCCGUGUUGGGUGAGCACUCUACUGAUACACAUCCAGCCCUCCUAUUCCAGUGCGUUUAUCAAGGCUCUUUUGUCUUCCUACUCCUUUCUAAAAUGGCUAUUUGAAAGCUCAUAUUAGGUAGUAGAAUGUAAAGUGCUUAAGGACGUAUGGUGGCAAAUACCUAGCAGAUUAAGUAAUUCUAGUCGACUUGUUCUACACCACAAAAAAAAAAAAAAAAAAAAAAACAGCAGCCAGUAGAACAGCAGCCAGUUUUCCAAGUCAAUUUCAGAAAGCACUGGGAAUCUUUUAGCACCUAACACUAAUACUUCAAAAAGCAUCAGGAGCCUGUACUUCCCUGGACUCACACUCUAAUCUCUGUUGACCUUUUAGUAUACAGUUUACUAUGACUCAGUAAGACUGCUGGAUGAGAAGCUGUGCAUUUGGCCACUCACACAGUCACAGUAGAGUCUGGGGUUCUCUGAGCAGUUACUGUGGGCAGCCAUCCAGUUGGUAAAAUCUUUUAGCCACACUCAAUUUGUAACAUCCUGUUAGAAAAUGUGUUGGCUGGGUCACUAGGUAUAGAUGAAAUACCCAGUGUUUACACAUCCUAUUGUAAUGACUGUAAGAGGCUUUAGGGCUCAGGCAUUUGUCCAGAAUGCUGUGAAGCCCUAGGUUCAAUGUCUAGUACAGUCCAAAGAAGGGGAAGGGAAAGAAAGGAGAAAGAAAAACUCAAUUUGAGGUUGCCUUGGCAAUUAGAGCCCGGCGCAGUGGUUCACACCUAUAAUCCCAGAAGAGACGGGGUUUACCAAAUUUAAGGCCAGUCUGGUUAGCCUGGACUAGAUGUGAGACCCUGUCUCAGAGUUUGGGGCUGGAGAGCUGGGUCAGCAGAAAGAUGCAUUUGCUGCUCUUGGAAAGGAUCAAGCACCGGCAACUAUCUGUCACCCCAUCCAGUUCCUCCGCCUGCUUCUGCGCGCACAUACACACACACACAAGUACAUUCAAGUACAAGUACACACACAACAUAUGAAAAAAUAAAAACCGAAGCUUGACACCUUUUCAGGUAUUGCUUUCCCUAAUAUUCUGGAUUCCAAAGACCAUGUGAACUGGCAGAAACUGCAUUUUCCUCCAGUCCCCUUGCUUUUUGUGAGUUCGUGAUGUUUGUUUGAUGAUGAAAUGUGGUGAGACUGAGAACAAAUUUGGCAUGUUAAACGCACUAGGCAAGGUUACAGCUGUGUGUAAAACAUUGAGAUCUUCAGGUGAGGGUAGUGUGCGUUUCCAAGUUCCUGUAUGAUGUGGCCAAACUUAAAAUUCUUGGAAGUUAGUCGACUGGUAUAAAUCUGAGACAGGAAAAAAAACAAGUAUUCAUUACUUGACAGUAUGUACACAGAUGUAUUGGGCCCUCACUCCACAGUAACUGAAGUGACUAAAAAUCACUUCAUGAUAAAACGGAGUCCUCAUUUUAUUAGUCCUAUAUGGUUUGGCCCCUGCUGUCUUUUUUCAUAAAGGCAAACUCAUCACAGGUUUCUGCUAAUAGAGGACAUACCACCAAGUCUUUAAUCCCAUCCCAGCAGAGGCAGAGGGAAGCUGAUCUGAAGGCCAGUCCAGACUACAUGCGACACUAUCUCAAAAAUACCUCACUACCAAAAAAUAGUUAUGAAGCACUUAGGG